rnacentral:rRNA from 1 species
AGAACGAACGCUGGCGGCAUGCCUAAUACAUGCAAGUCGAACGAACUCUUCGGAGUUAGUGGCGCACGGGUGCGUAACGCGUGGGAAUCUGCCCCUUGGGUUCGGAAUAACAGUUGGAAACGACUGCUAAUACCGGAUGAUGACGAAAGUCCAAAGAUUUAUCGCCAAGGGAUGAGCCCGCGUAGGAUUAGCUAGUUGGUGAGGUAAAGGCUCACCAAGGCGAACGAUCCUUAGCUGGUCUGAGAGGAUGAUCAGCCACACUGGGACUGAGACCACGGCCCAGACCUCCUACGGGAGCAGCAGUAGGAUAUUGGACAAUGGGACGAAAGCCUGAUCCAGCAAUGCCGCGUGAGUGAUGGAAGCGUUAGGUUAGUAAGUCUACUUUUACCCGAG